rnacentral:rRNA from 1 species
CGGGAAACUGGGGAUAAUACCCUAUAGACUAUGGAUGCUGGAAUGCUUCGUAGUUGAAAGGUCCGCCGCUGUAGGAUGGGUCUGCGGCCGAUUAGGUUGUUGUUGGGGUAACGGCCCAACAAGCCUGUAAUCGGUACGGGUUGUGGGAGCAAGAGCCCGGAGAUGGAUUCUGAGACACGAAUCCAGGCCCUACGGGGCGCAGCAGGCGCGAAAACUUUACAAUGCGGGAAACCGUGAUAAGGGAACUCUGAGGGCCAGUAAAAUCGGGCGGUCCAUCAGGGGAAAGAACUGGUGAAGAAAGGGCCGGGCAAGACCGGUGCCAGCCGCCGCGGUAACA